GCCGAAUUCGCCAGGAACGCUUCCUUGGCCUAUCAUUGUAUCGCGUCGUACCUAAAUUCGCGAUUGCCGCAUUAUUGUCCACCCGCGGUUGACUAUAAAAUUGUAAACGUUUUCAUUCAAAGAUAACCGAACUGUUUAGGCGACACUUUGGCGGGGUUCUUAUCGUUGUUGCAUCCGGAGAUCGAGUAACUCGCAUCUUGCUCCGACACAAAGAAGAAGGACUCCUCGGCCUGUCAGCGAACCGCCCGCUUCUUCACUCUCGUUGAGGCCGUCACACGUUUCGGACGCGUGCUCACAAGUCUCUCCUUAACUGUUGUACUUAGAGAAUCUUCAAGUUCCAUCAUCUCGUGACGGUCUCUCAUAUUCUCGUAUAUCUCCUUUUUUUCUUUCUGGUUCUUUCUCAUUACAAUUGUUGCAACCAAGUGUAUUCGUGACUUCAACCAAUUUCACGAUCUUCUUAAUUAAUUCAUACAAGAAAAGACAGACGCGACUUUCGGAAGCCGGGAGUGCGAUAUCGCGAGCGUUCGACGUUCCGUCAUCUCAGCUGGGAGGAACGCGGGCACGUACGAGGGCUCCUUCUCCCGUUCCGUCGGACGCCUAAACAGUGACGUUCCUGCCAUCCGAUUACAAUUGAAAGAGACUUUGAUAGAAAAUUCUCCGAACACAAAGAACGCUUAAUAACAUCCUGGGAUGAAGAGUUUAAAAAUUUUUUUAAUUUUUUCAAAAAAAUGUAUUUACAGCAGAUUACUUGCAUGAAAUUUUAAUGAAUGCACAAUCCUUAUCUAAUGAUUCGAAAACGGCAAUUCAAAUUUGGCUUUUAGCAAGUGUUGUAGCUGCGAAGUCUAAUAAAAUAUGUAUCAAAAUUGGAAAUAAAAAAAGACUAUAGAGGCCUACAAUCUCGGAAUGUCGAGAAGGUAUUUUAGUGCAUUGCAAAUUACCUGGAGAUGUUGGAUCAACAUGCAAGGAAAAAGAAAAUAAGAUGCUACAGAUGACUCUUAGUAUGCAACCAUUUAUAAUAGUCGUUGGACCACAAAUAACUUCAAUUGAAGAAAUAUACAUUCGUCUUGAUAAAACUCUAUAUCCUAUGCCGAGUGUAUUGAAAGCAUUAGAUAUAUUCUUUAAGAUUUUCAUAACACGUUUAAUGCGUGUUAUCCAAAAGAAUGUGAAAAUGUAUGGUAUUUGAUACAGUGGAGUAUCUAUGACAUUCACACAAGUUGGAACUAGAACAUUCCUUUUCUCUGUAAUGCACUAACAAGUAAAGGUACCUAACUGUCACUCACCGAUUUUGAUGAAACUUUGCCCACUUAUAGAACGAUGGAAAAUAAUCGACACGUAUUUUUUUAUCUGCGGAGAAGCAGUUUUAAGGGUAGAAAUUACCCCUUAUUUAUAUAGAGUGUUUUCGCGUUAGAAGUGCUAUCUUGUUGUUUAUUCGAAAGGCUGAAAGGUUUCAUGGGAUUUUUGGAGUCGCUAAAUUCGAAUCUGACGUGAAAAUUCAAAAAUACAAAAUGGCGGAUCAAAUAUGGCGCCUAUGUCUCGUGAAUGGGACUAUUUUUUCCAUGUAAAUUAAAAUGAUGUUGACGAAAAUUACGAUUUUUUAAAUAUAUAGGGGAAAUCACAUUGUUUUCACUAUUUUUAGUAUUACUGUUUGUCAUUUGUUUUUAUGCGUGCAUAUGAAAUGUCUUCAGGCAACUUAUAUGGAAUUUGCUGUUAUGUCACCUAACAUUAAAUGAAUCUAUUGAGAAUAAAUGUUCCAUAUAUUUCAGUAUGUCAUUAUUCAUUGAGCGAUCUCGAAAACCUAAAAAAAUCGUAAUUUUCGUCAACAUCAUUUUAUUUUACAUGGAAAAAAUGGUCCCACUCACAAGACAUAAGCGCCAUAUUUGAUCCGCCACUUUGUAUUUUUGAAUUUUCACGUCAGAUUCGAAUUAGCGACCCCAAAAAUCCCAUGAAACCUUUCAGCCUUUCGAAUAAACAACAAGAUAGCACUUCUAACGCGAAAACACUCUAUAUAAAUAAGGGGUAAUUUCCACCCUUA
rnacentral:lncRNA from 1 species